rnacentral:lncRNA from 1 species
CCCUUUACCUUUAUCACCCAAAGAUGUUAUAAAACCAUACACAUUUAGGAUGAAUGAGCUAUGUGAUGACGACGACAACAACAAUAAUAUACUUUGUGUAGUCUUAUAUGUGAAGUCUAGAGAGCUAAGUUUGGGUGUAUAGAGAAACUAUUUUUUGAUAGACCCUAUCACCCUAACAACUCAAGAAAAAAUAUUUUUUUCAAAAAAGAUAUAAGAGAUGUAUGAAUGAGCUAGACGACAUUCGACAAACUAAUACAAAAGAUAUGAAUUUCUAUCAACCAGAAUAGAAAAAAACAAAUCAAAUCAACUUUUAAAUAAGUAAGUGAAUUAAUAAUUUGUAUUAGUACGUUUGGAUGUAUAAUCUAAAAGGGCAAACAAUAGUUACUUUAGUUAAGUGCUAACCGGAAAAAUUAAAAUUGAACCAAAAAUUCAAAAGAUUUUUUUAGUAUGAAAAAAGUUAUUAUUAAUAAUGGUACGUAGCUAUCACAAGUCUUGACUAUUAUUUUUGGAUUUAU